rnacentral:rRNA from 1 species
UACGUAGGGUGCAAGCGUUGUCCGGAAUUAUUGGGCGUGAAGAGCUCGUAGGCGGUUUGUUGCGUCGGCUGUGAAAUCCCGAGGCUCAACCUCGGGUCUGCAGUCGAUACGAGCAAACUAGAGUGUUGCAGGGGAGACUGGAAUUCCUGGUGUAGCGGUGAAAUGCGCAGAUAUCAGGAGGAACACCGGUGGCGAAGGCGGGUCUCUGGGCCGUAACUGACGCUGAGGAGCGAAAGCGUGGGGAGCGAACAGG